CAAAAGACAGACUCAGAAGGACUUGGAGCAUGCCAUGCUACUCCGACAACAUGAAUCUAUGCAAGAACUGGAGUUCCGCCACCUCAACACAAUUCAGAAGAUGCGCUGUGAGUUGAUCAGAUUGCAGCAUCAAACUGAGCUCACUAACCAGCUGGAAUAUAAUAAGCGAAGAGAACGAGAACUAAGACGAAAGCAUGUCAUGGAAGUUCGACAACAGCCUAAGAGUUUGAAGUCUAAAGAACUCCAAAUAAAAAAGCAGUUUCAGGAUACUUGCAAAAUCCAAACCAGACAGUACAAAGCAUUAAGAAAUCACCUGCUGGAGACUACACCAAAGAGUGAGCACAAAGCUGUUCUGAAACGGCUCAAGGAGGAACAGACCCGGAAAUUAGCUAUCUUGGCUGAGCAAUAUGAUCACAGCAUUAAUGAAAUGCUCUCCACACAAGCCGUGAGUUUGCUUUUUUUGGGCAAAACAAAUUUAGUGCCCCUUUUCUUCCACCACCUGAGUGAAAUCACAGCAAUUAAAGUACUAGUUGGAAAUGAUAGCUCUCCUGCAGCUUGGGAAA
rnacentral:sRNA from 1 species